rnacentral:sRNA from 1 species
UACCGUCCGGGCCCGGCGAAGUUCGCCAU